GGAAACACUUCAAAGUUGCUCACAAAAGUCGUACCAACAAAAGCAUCCAACAAAUCUCACGGAUUUCGCAGCCAAACGCGAAGAACAAAAAAAUCACCAAAAAUACCUCCGAAAAUCCUGAAAAAGAUAAAACUCAGAUCUUGGGAUGAAGAAGCAAUUGAGCACGAAAUUGAUUCUUGGAUUACUUCACCAUAUCCGAUUACAAGCCACUCUUAGGCACAAACAAAGCUAAGAUGGCAAAAAGAUCAAAUCAAAGAUCCCUCAUCUCUCUCCCUCUCUCUUCCCUAAAGGCUCCCACAAACCAAAAAUGAGAAGUCCAC
rnacentral:lncRNA from 1 species